AAAAUGAUGAGGUUGGCAGUGGAUUAUUCGAAAAUGAGCGAUCAGAUACAACUGGUCUCCUUUCAGUAAUUACUCUUUGAUGAACUGUCCAAUCCCCCUGAGAUACUUUAUCUGAACAUUUCUCAGCUGUACAUAAUGUUUUGCAAUGAAAGUUAGAUGGUCUGAUAGUUUUCUGUUCCUGAACAAUGACUUCUGCCUGCCUAUUCAGUGGCCUAUACCAAGCAGAUCUAUGAGUAAAAAACAUGAGGGUGGACUUCUACAAGCUGUCGUAUUGCAUUAAGUUGCACAAUCUGCAGAUUGUUAAAUUACUGCCACACCUUCAAGAAAACUUUUAACUCUUCUUGUGGGAUAAGGAGGGAAUGCCACAUCUGACACACAACAUGCAGGAACAAAAAAUUGGAUCCAGCUCAAAGUAUCACUUCAUCCUUCAUGAAAUCUUCCACAGAGUAGUAGCAUCAUUUAAUUAGAAAAUCAUGGAACUUGCUUUUUAAAAUAUUUACCUUCUUAUUCAUUAUGUCACACCCUUUUACUGUGUUGUGAAUUUUCAUGGCUAUAUACUGAGGAGUCUGAGCAUGCAGUUUUAAGUGAUGAGAGGUGAGUGUAAAGUUUUCUUUAUGUCUUGUGUGAGUGUUCAAAAUGAUUUUUUUAAAAAAUAGAUCAGCUCUGCUGUGUAGGAGAAGAACCACCUCAAAGAUGUAUAAAGAGGGGACAGUGGGUCUCUAAAAAGAGAUAAUGUGAGCUACAUCACAGUAGAAAAUCUCAAAGACAAAGUUUUGAUAUGAAGAGGAACUGGUACUGAAAAAGUGCAGUGUCACCGUAAGAUCUGGCAUAUGUUGAACUUAAAUUGUGAUUAAGUCUAUGAACAAAUGAUGGCUAUUUGAUUUUGUUUGCUGCAUACACUGUAAAUAGUUUACAGGUCAC